rnacentral:rRNA from 1 species
GGCGAACGGGUGAGUAACACGUGGGUGAUCUGCCCUGCACUCUGGGAUAAGCCUGGGAAACUGGGUCUAAUACCGGAUAGGACCAUGCUUUAGUGUGUGUGGUGGAAAGUUUUUUCGGUGUAGGAUGAGCCCGCGGCCCAUCAGCUUGUUGGUGGGGUAAUGGCCUACCAAGGCGGCGACGGGUAGCCGGACUGAGAGGUUGGUCGGCCACAUUGGGACUGAGAUACGGCCCAG